rnacentral:rRNA from 1 species
AAAUUGAAGAGUUUGAUCAUGGCUCAGAUUGAACGCUGGCGGCAGGCCUAACACAUGCAAGUCGAGCGGUAGCACAGAGAGCUUGCUCUCGGGUGACGAGCGGCGGACGGGUGAGUAAUGUCUGGGAAACUGCCUGAUGGAGGGGGAUAACUACUGGAAACGGUAGCUAAUACCGCAUAACGUCGCAAGACCAAAGUGGGGGACCUUCGGGCCUCAUGCCAUCAGAUGUGCCCAGAUGGGAUUAGCUAGUAGGUGGGGUAACGGCUCACCUAGGCGACGAUCCCUAGCUGGUCUGAGAGGAUGACCAGCCACACUGGAACUGAGACACGGUCCAGACUCCUACGGGAGGCAGCAGUGGGGAAUAUUGCACAAUGGGCGCAAGCCUGAUGCAGCCAUGCCGCGUGUGUGUGUGAAGAAGGCCUUCGGGUUGUAAAGCACUUUCAGCGGGGAGGAAGGCGUUAAGGUUAAUAACCUUGGCGAUUGACGUUACCCGCAGAAGAAGCACCGGCUAACUCCGUGCCAGCAGCCGCGGUAAUACGGAGGGUGCAAGCGUUAAUCGGAAUUACUGGGCGUAAAGCGCACGCAGGCGGUCUGUCAAGUCGGAUGUGAAAUCCCCGGGCUCAACCUGGGAACUGCAUUCGAAACUGGCAGGCUAGAGUCUUGUAGAGGGGGGUAGAAUUCCAGGUGUAGCGGUGAAAUGCGUAGAGAUCUGGAGGAAUACCGGUGGCGAAGGCGGCCCCCUGGACAAAGACUGACGCUCAGGUGCGAAAGCGUGGGGAGCAAACAGGAUUAGAUACCCUGGUAGUCCACGCCGUAAACGAUGUCGAUUUGGAGGUUGUGCCCUUGAGGCGUGGCUUCCGGAGCUAACGCGUUAAAUCGACCGCCUGGGGAGUACGGCCGCAAGGUUAAAACUCAAAUGAAUUGACGGGGGCCCGCACAAGCGGUGGAGCAUGUGGUUUAAUUCGAUGCAACGCGAAGAACCUUACCUGGUCUUGACAUCCACAGAACUUUCCAGAGAUGGAUUGGUGCCUUCGGGAACUGUGAGACAGGUGCUGCAUGGCUGUCGUCAGCUCGUGUUGUGAAAUGUUGGGUUAAGUCCCGCAACGAGCGCAACCCUUAUCCUUUGUUGCCAGCGGUUCGGCCGGGAACUCAAAGGAGACUGCCAGUGAUAAACUGGAGGAAGGUGGGGAUGACGUCAAGUCAUCAUGGCCCUUACGACCAGGGCUACACACGUGCUACAAUGGCAUAUACAAAGAGAAGCGACCUCGCGAGAGCAAGCGGACCUCAUAAAGUAUGUCGUAGUCCGGAUUGGAGUCUGCAACUCGACUCCAUGAAGUCGGAAUCGCUAGUAAUCGUAGAUCAGAAUGCUACGGUGAAUACGUUCCCGGGCCUUGUACACACCGCCCGUCACACCAUGGGAGUGGGUUGCAAAAGAAGUAGGUAGCUUAACCUUCGGGAGGGCGCUUACCACUUUGUGAUUCAUGACUGGGGUGAAGUCGUAACAAGGUAACCGUAGGGGAACCUGCGGUUGGAUCACCUCCUUACCUUAAAGAA